CGGCCCCUUCCUCCACCUCCUCCGUCCUCAUACUACGCCCGAGAUCGAAGUCCGCUUAGGAGACCGCCUACCACACCAGUGCCCCCUGCCAGUAACGGCUACUCCUAUGAUCGCUCUGCAUACGGAGUUCCACGUGCAAGGGACCCCUACGCAGAUCGGCUGCCUCCGCCACCGCCUGCACGCUACGCUUAUUAAGCAAGGGCGGCGCAUUUUGAAGGAUUGUCGUCCGACUGCGUCGCCGCUCGGCGCCUCCUGAUGCACGUGACUCUAUCCUCUCCCUGUCAGUGGCUGAGCGCGUAACGUUCCCCUGCGAUGCUGACAGGAGGAACCGAAUAGCCGACGUCCACGUCUCUUUCUGUUUUUAUUACUUUGAGGCAAUUUUUACACUCGUAUUUUUCCUCCUGGUUGUUUUAAUAUGUAAUUGUGCUGUAGUACUUUUACUGCUUGCCGUCUGGAGUAGGUGUUUAUUUUUUAUUUUAUUUUUUUUGUACUUUUUUCGUUUGAGUAAUACUGAUGUUGUUUGUGACCUUAGAGAAGCUGAAUGAGUUCAGCAACAGUUUCUAGGCGAUACUUGUGACUGUAGAUUUAACUGAACUUAACUUUGUUUGGUAUAAAAUCUAAUCUGCACGUUGACUCCAUCAUGUAAAACUUUUACACCGCACAACAAACCGCUGUGAAAAACUUAAACUGCUCAAAUGUAGGAGUUCGAUGCAUGCAGGAAGUAACUGUUAACUUACAGAAAAUAAAUGUCAGUCGGAAGUCUC